AUAAGCGGAGGAAAAGAAACCAACAGGGAUUGCCUUAGUAACGGCGAGUGAAGCGGCAACAGCUCAAAUUUGAAAUCUGGCCUUUGGCCCGAGUUGUAAUUUGCAGAGGAUGUUUCUGGCGAGGUGCCUUCCGAGUUCCCUGGAACGGGACGCCAUAGAGGGUGAGAGCCCCGUACGGUUGGUCGCUAAGCCUCUGUGAAACUCCUUCGACGAGUCGAGUAGUUUGGGAAUGCUGCUCUAAAUGGGAGGUAUACGUCUUCUAAAGCUAAAUACCGGCUAGAGACCGAUAGCGCACAAGUAGAGUGAUCGAAAGAUGAAAAGCACUUUGAAAAGAGGGUUAAAUAGUACGUGAAAUUGUUGAAAGGGAAGCGCUUAUGACCAGACUUGGACCGGUUGAUCAUCCAUCGUUCUCGGUGGUGCACUCUGCCGGUUCAGGCCAGCAUCAGUUUGGCUUGGGGGAUAAAGGCUUCGGGAAUGUGGCUCCCCACGGGGAGUGUUAUAGCCCGUUGCGUAAUACCCUGGGCUGGACUGAGGUUCGCGCUCCGCAAGGAUGCUGGCGUAAUGGUCAUCAGUGACCCGUCUUGAAACACGGACCAAGGAGUCGUCUUCGUAUGCGAGUGUUCGGGUGUCAAACCCCUACGCGUAAUGAAAGUGAACGUAGGAGAGAGCUUCGGCGCAUCUCCGACCGAUCCUGAUGUUCUCGGAUGGAUUUGAGUAAGAGCAUACGGGGCCGGACCCGAAAGAAGGUGAACUAUGCCUGUAUAGGGUGAAGCCAGAGGAAACUCUGGUGGAGGCUCGCAGCGGUUCUGACGUGCAAAUCGAUCGUCAAAUAUGGGCAUGGGGGCGAAAGACUAAUCGAACCUUCUAGUAGCUGGNUUCCGC
rnacentral:rRNA from 1 species